rnacentral:lncRNA from 1 species
CUUCCGAACCUUGUGGUGGUCUCAGAUUUUUCACAACACCAACAAAAAGAUGGUUUAGUUACGGACAGCCUCUUAAGUCGCCGGAAAAUUGCAUGGCGACGAGGUCUUUCUUCCCGGAAGUUGCUGGAAUGACGCACAGCUAUAAUAUUCUCACUGUAGCUCUGAUACCAGCACGGCGACGAGGUCUUUCUUCCCGGAAGUUGCUGGAUUGACGCACAACUAUUAUAUUCUCACUGUAGCUCUGAUACCAUGUGAGAAAGCACGGGAGAAAAAUAUAUUUGAUAUUAAACAUGAUACAAUGAGCCCUGUAUAUAUAUACACAUAACCUAUCAUACUCCUAAUACACAUUGGAUUAGGGUUCUACUAUUUACAUAUUCUAA